rnacentral:lncRNA from 1 species
CCUACAUUUGUAUGUAAGGCACAGUAAAGGAAAAAAGACAUCCCUUGCCUUUCAGACAAUUUGGGCUUGAGCAGGUGUAGCAUGCCAAGUAAGAAUAAUAGCAAAACAACAAAGAAGGAAAGAGGAAAGACCGCAAGAGGAAUGGGAGCACAAGGAUCAUAUAUACUCCAGCUAAGAGUGGGAGCCUGCAGAAAGAAACUCACUGUCCCAAGAUCUGCACCAAGAAGCUCCAAGCCUAAAUGGACACAAGCUGUAAAGUUUUUCUCCUUGCAGAUUCGUUGAAAUGCAUAAUCUGUCCGAGGACUCCAGUUGUGGUGGUGACGGUCACAGAAAAAAAGAUUGGAAGUACCUGAAAAUAUUGGAAGAUUUCUAAAAUAUACACAAAAGCAGAGCUGAGACCCACCGCUGAAGAGUUGCAUUCCUUUAUGGGACUGACUUUCAUCAGUCAUUUUAUUGAUCAGUGUAGAAAAAUGUAAGUUAAUGCACAUGGAGAAAACCCUGGCCAAACACAUAUGAAAUCCGAUCCAGCACCACUUCUCUGACUGAUGCUAAUUAGUAAUAGGACCAUGGGGUUAUAAUAGGUAAUUUCAUGGAUCUAUCACCUCACUGAUUAAUAACAAUCAAGCAAGUCAUCUAAAUAGCAG